UGGAUCCGGCCGUCGCCGUGCUUCUCGCGUCAGAUGCAGCAUCCGUUCAGCCAGAUCAGCCCCGACCGGAUCUCUUGCUAGUCGCCUCGGCCGGAUCCACCCUACCUAUGGCUGGCCCCCGAGCCGCCCCACACCACCAAGCGCCGCCGGAGCCCUACCCCACCACGCGCCGCCGGAGCCCCGCCCAACCACGCUCCGAUAGAGCCCUGCCCCGCCGCGCCAUGUGCCGCCAGAGCCCUGCUGCACUACUUGUCACGACUCCCCACUGCCUCGCACUUCCUCCCGCCAUGGCCAACGCCUCCGGAUUCCGGCUAGCCAUGGCCUCCUAGCGACGCGCCCCCGAUGGAUCCAGCCAUCCACGGCCUCCCCCCGUCGCGCUGUCGAUCGAUCCAGUCAUCCAGGGCCUCCCCGCAUCGUGCCGCCGAUGGAUCCAGCCAUCCACGGCCUCCCUUGAUGUGUCAUUGUUGGAUCCGGCCAUCCCGAGCGCCGCCCCGCCAUGGUGGUUGGGCCUCCCAUGAUCCCCCUCCCUCCGGCUCCGGCCAGCGCCAUGCCCGGCCCUUCCCGUUAGGCCGACGACACUGAUGCAGUGCAGUUCACCACAUCAUCGGGCUCGCCUCCCCUCCGCCACUCUUUGCAGUUCGCAAGCGACCUAGGCGCUCUCUGCACGGCCGCCACGAUGCAGUGCAGUUCCGCCCAUUGGUAGAGAGUGUUCGGCAGCGCUCCCGUGUCGAUGCAGCUCACUUCAUCUGCAUGGGUGGAUUUUUUUUGUUCAAACUGCAGCUCACUUCGUCCACAACCUCUCGCAACAGAGUGAAGGUGCGGGCACCCCUUCCCUGCAGCCCAACGACCGCACCUGUGCAGUCCACAAAUGAGGUCAUCAAAAAGUUGAAGAGCGGUCGGUGUGGCGCCCCUUUCCAGUUAGCGCAUCAUGCGGUGCCGUCGAGCGUGGCGUGCAGUGCAGCUCAACCAAACGUGUAGUCUACGGCCGUCACAUCCAGCUCUCUCCUGCACCUGUUUGCGCACAGCGGGAGACAAGUGCACUGCACUAGAGUGGACGGCGACAUACUUAUUUUUUAGUAGUUCAUCUUUGUUGUAUGUUUUAAUUCCAUCAUAUUUGUGGUUCCCUUGUGGUAUCCUGCAGUA